rnacentral:lncRNA from 1 species
UAAAGAUAGUUGUUGUUGUUAUUUUUCCCCAAACUCACCCAAGCAAAGUGUUCACAGUAAACUUUUGUCUUACUGCAUCAUAUAUUGACGUAGUACCUGGAGACUAUAGACAAUUUCAUGUGGUAUUGCUUCUGUUCUUCAUUCCUCAGAUCAAAAGAUCCAGAACCUUAAAAUGUCCCCAGAAUGCUCCUUUCAAGACUAACAACCCACAUCCCCCAGCUGAAUUAUGCUCCUUUGUCAUGGAAUUCACACCCCACCCCCUCCACUGACGCAAACUUUGGAGAGCAACUCCAUGGAGGAUAACCUAAGCGCUGCCUGCAGAGUUAAGUGAGCUGUCCUUGCUUGUUAUUGUAACAUUGAUAUACAUAUCUUCCUU